UUUCCUAUGAAGAAUUAAAAUGCGCUCAGGACCUAGGGAAAGAGGAGGAUGAGAAAGGGGAAAUAAGAAAGAUGGGAAAGAAGGAAAUCGGAAAACAGGGGAGAGGAGGAAACCCAAAAAAAAAGGGCAACGCCGACCCCAAUGUAUCCCUGAUUCUUCCAACCAAGUUCUUUUCCUUUGGUCAUUUUCAUCGGCACAUAACCUCAUCACAUUGAAGAAGCUAACCUGCUGCCCCUUUUCACACAAGAAUUUGGAGUUGAGUGGAAAUUUUAAACCGUAGAUUUUGGACAGCGGUCUUGGUAUAGCAAAACUGGAGCGACUACUGCAAGUUUAAUUCGAUGGCCACUCAGGCACCUGACAGAUCAAAGGGUACAAUUGGGCUGAGGCAGUAUACUUAUGAAGAGCUAGCAAAAGCAACUGGCAAGUUUUCCAACCAGUUCCACCUUGGCGAGGGUGGUUUUGGUCAAGUCUUUUGGGCUUUCCUAGAUGAUGAAAUCCGUGCUAUUAAGAAACUAAGGUAUCUUCCUGAUGUACAGAAAGAAGAAUUGGAGCAUGAGAUCAGGGUCAUUAGCAGUGUCAGUCACAAAAAUCUUGUUAAACUGGUUGGAUACUGCAUUGACGGAGCCAAUGGAUUGCUUGUUUUAGAGUAUCUUCCCAAUGGGUCCUUGAAGUCUCAUUUACAUGGAAAAAACAUUUUAGAUUGGUCAAAAAGAAUCGGUAUCGCCAAAGGCUGUGCGCUUGGAUUAGAAUAUCUGCACAAACACUGCGAACCCCCAAUCAUACACCAAGAUAUCAAAUCAGAUAAUAUUCUUCUUAAUAAAAAUUUUAAACCAAAGCUUGCAGAUUUCGGACUUGCCUUGUACUUUCCGGAUAGUGUUACUCAUCUUUCUAGAACGAUUAAAGGAACUGAAGUUUAUAUGGAUCCAGAAUAUUCUGGAAAGAUCUCUGCUAAGUCAGAUGUCUACUCUUUCGGUGUGGUGCUUCUAGAGUUGAUUACGGGGAGAGAACCUUUACAUGAAGGCGUUAAAAUCGUUGAUUGGGCAAAGACUCGAAUUAUGCAGGCUUUGAAAGGAGAUUAUAAGGACUUUGUUGAUGUCAGAUUGCAAAAGUAUGAUAAAGGAGAAAUGGAAAAAGUAAUAUAUUGUGCCAAAGGUUGUGUAUAUAACCGUCCAGAGUUUCGUCCAUCAAUGAGAGAGAUUGUUCGAUUUCUUGAAGGAGCCAAGCUUGAAAAGAAUUUAUGGAUUGAGAAGAUUGAUAACGAAAUGCGACGCAGUACUGUAAAUGGAGAAGCUUCAUCGAGUGACAUUGAGAGGCUUGAAAUUCACAACCCGAUGAUAUUUACUUAUGAACAACUAACAAAGGCGACUGAAGGUUUCUCCAGAAAAAAUCUUCUUGGCAAGGGUAGUUUGGGUCAAGUUUAUAAGGGAUACCUAAUCAAUCAUGAGGUGACAGUCAAGAAAUUUUCACAUAUGCCUCGAAAGCAAGAAGAUGCGUUCGAGAAAAUGAAAGCCAUUUGUAGUAGCGUCCAUCACAACAAUCUUGUUAAGCUGAUUGGAUACUGCGAUGAAGGAGGCAAUAAACUACUUGUUUUUGAGUUCGUUUCAGAGGACAAAUCCUUGAGAUCUCAUUUACAUGCAGGAAAUGCGAGAUCAACAGUGGAUUGGCCAACCAGAAUGGAGAUCGCCUUAGGCAUUGCAAAAGGAUUGGUAGAUCUACAUGAACAAUAUAAACGUUGGAACGUAUACGAGCAUUUCAAGGAUGACAGUAUCUUUCUUGAUGGAAAUUUUCAAUUAAAGUUUGCAGAGUAUGGACGUGCCAAGUUUCUCUCAACAUAUGUUGGCUCUUUUUCCAUCUUCGACUACAGUUUUACGACUUCUACGUAUGCCAAGACCGAUGUUUAUUUCUUUGGUGAAAUUCUUAUGGAGCUAAUCACUGGAAAGCAACCUAAUGAUGACAUUGGCUUAGUUGAAUGGGCGGAACCUGUGCUCGGAGAUGGCUUGCUGCAUGGCAAGUAUUAUUUUGUUGACAAUAAAUUGCAGAACAAGUUUGAUGAAAAUAAAAUGAUUCGAAUGAUUACAUGUGCUUUAGCCUGUGUACGUCGUUUCCCUCAAGAGCGACCACAAAUGAGUCGGGUGGUGGAAGUUUUAGCAGGGAACAUUCCUCCGGAAUAUCUCUAGAGUGGAGAACAACAAUUUAUAAAAAAAUAAACUUUUGACGGCUAUGCCUGGGAAUAUUGGGCCAACGCAAUAUAAUGAUGAACAACUAUCAAAAGCAACUGGUCAUUUCUCCAACGACUACAUACUUGGCCAGGGUGGUUUUGGUCAAGUCUUUAAGGGUGCCCUACACGGUGAAAUCCUUGCUAUUAAGAAACCUCACUAUUUCCAGGAACAGACCAGAGAAGAAUUGGUCCAUGAGAUUGCAGUCAUAAGCAGUGUUCGUCACUGUAAUCUUGUUAAUCUGCUUGGCUACUGCAUUGAAGGAGCUAACGCAUUGCUUGUUUUAGAGUAUCGUCUCAAUAAAUCCUUGAGACUUCAUUUACAUGGAGGAGGAAAGGAGAUUUUGGAUUGGCCGACAAUAAGGAAAAUUGCCAUAGGCUCUGCAAAAGGAUUGGAAUAUCUGCGUGAGCACUGUGAGUAACCGAUCACUGCUUGAUAAUUUUAUAGGAUUUUAAUAGAGCUAUUGAUUCUUCUCACAAUAUUUAUAUGUCUUCAGCAUCUACUAAGAUUAUUCACCAAGAUAUCAAAUCAGAUAACAUUCUUCUCGAUAUCAAUUUUGAACCAAAGGUGAGAUGUAUAAUUUAAUUACAAACAAAAGUGUUACCUAUAUAAUUAGUUAUAUCCUAUAAUGAAAAAUUGGAGUUAGAUUUCAUAAUUGGAUGUAAUUCAUAAGUAACAUUUUUAUCAUUUUUUUUAUUUGAUGCCAAAUUAUAUUAUUUGUGGCACAAUAGAUCCACUAAUGUAUUUGGAUAAUUUUGUUUAGAUUACGGAUUUUGGACUUGCCUUA